CUGGAGCCCACUCCUUCAGCUUGCAGGGAGGUGUGGAGGGAGAGGCGCGAGCGGGAACCGGGGCUGCGUGCGGCACUUGCGGGCCAGCUGGAGUUCGGGGUGGGCGUGGGCUUGGCGGGCCCAGCACUCGCAGCAGCCGGCCAGCCCUGCUGGCCCCGGGCAGUGAGGGACUUAGCACCCGGGCCAGCGGCUGCGGAGGAUGUACUGGGUCCCCCAGCAGUGCCAGCCCACCGGCGCUGCGCUCGAUUUCUCACCGAGCCUUAGCUGCCUUCCCGCGGGGCAGGGCUCGGGACCUGCAGCCCGCCAUGCCUGAGCCUCCUACCCACUCCAAGGGCUCCUGUGCGGCCGGAGCCUCCCCGUACUAGCCCACCAGGAGGAACGAACAACUCCAGAGAUGCUGCCUUAAGAGCUGUAACACUCACGGCAAAGUUCUGCAGCUUCACUCCUGAGCCAGCGAGACCACGAACCCACCAGAAGGAAGAAACUCCGAACACAUCAGAAUAUCAGAAGGAACAAACUCCAGACGCGCCACCUUAAGAGCUGUAACACUCACCGCAAGGGUCCACGGCUUCAUUCUUGAAGUCAGUGAGACCAAGAACCCACCAAUUCCGGACACAGUGUCAGGCGCCUGUAGUCCCAGCUCCUCGGGAGGCUGAGGCAGGAGAAUGGCGUCAACCUGGGAGGCGGAGCUUGCAGUGAGCCGAGAUCACGCCACUGCACUCCAGCCUGGGCGACUGAGCAAGACUCCGUCUCAAAAGAACAGCAACAACAACAACAACAACAAACCAUAGUCCUUUGUCAGUCUUUAGUCUACUACUUCUGACCUAUUAACAGCUCCUGGCCUUCCAUUUCUAGUUAUCCCAGAAGGACAUACUGGAACACCUUGCAGGUAACUACUGGGCAGGCAAUUUCACCUGGUAUUUAAAAACACGGAUUCUCACUUGAACCUGGGAGGCGGAGGUUGCAGUGAGCUGAGAUCGCGCCACGGCACUCCAGACUGGCUACAGAGCGAGACUCCAUCUUAAAUAAAUAAAUAAAUAAAUAUGUAAAUACCUGGAUGCUGAGAUCAGAAAACAUAAGUUCAAAUUCUAAUUAACUCCAUAAAUUAUUAGGUAUGAUAUUUUGGGUUACACACUUUGAUGGCACUAACUGCAUGUUAGAAUUGUGUGGCAAAGAACUGAAGGCAUCAGUCCAAAAGCCCAAAGAACUAAAUACCGCCAACAACCCCAUGAACUUGGAAGUGGGUCCUUUCCCAGUGAGCUCUGGAGAUGACAAAAGACAGACAACACCUUGAUUGUAGUCUGUGAGAAAACCUGAAGCAGAAGACCCAGCUAACUUGUGCUCAGAUUCCUGACCAAUACAAAUUGUGAGACAAAUGUGUAAUUUUUUAAGCCAAGUUUUUGAUAAUGUAAUAUGAAGUGAUAGAUAACUAAUACAAAAUAGAGAACUGGAUACAUAUGUUCACGAGCUAUUCUGGCAUAAAAAUACAUUCAAUAAAAAACUUGUUGCUACUCUGUAUUUCCCUCAUCUCAUUGACAUCAUCCUAUCCUUUAUCUUUCAUAUAAAUAUCUGUGUAAAAUUUGUCAACAAAUGGUGUGAAAAUGAAGAGAAAGCAGAACAGUAGAAAUAAAAGAGGACUUGUUUA
rnacentral:lncRNA from 1 species